CAUGCAGUCGAGCGGACAGAUGGGAGCUUGCUCCCUGAUGUUAGCGGCGGACGGGUGAGUAACACGUGGGUAACCUGCCUGUAAGACUGGGAUAACUCCGGGAAACCGGGGCUAAUACCGGAUGCUUGAUUGAACCGCAUGGUUCAAUUAUAAAAGGUGGCUUUUAGCUACCACUUACAGAUGGACCCGCGGCGCAUUAGCUAGUUGGUGAGGUAACGGCUCACCAAGGCAACGAUGCGUAGCCAACCUGAGAGGGUGAUCGGCCACACUGGGACUGAAACACGGCCCAAACUCCUACGGGAGGCAGCAGUAGGGAAUCUUCCGCAAUGGACGAAAGUCUGACGGAGCAACGCCGCGUGAGUGAUGAAGGUUUUCGGAUCGUAAAACUCUGUUGUUAGGGAAGAACAAGUACCGUUCGAAUAGGGCGGUACCUUGACGGUACCUAACCAGAAAGCCACGGCUAACUACGUGCCAGCAGCCGCGGUAAUACGUAGGUGGCAAGCGUUGUCCGGAAUUAUUGGGCGUAAAGCGCGCGCAGGCGGUUUCUUAAGUCUGAUGUGAAAGCCCCCGGCUCACCCGGGGAGGGUCAUUGGAAACUGGGGAACUUGAGUGCAGAAGAGGAGAGUGGAAUUCCACGUGUAGCGGUGAAAUGCGUAGAGAUGUGGAGGAACACCAGUGGCGAAGGCGACUCUCUGGUCUGUAACUGACGCUGAGGCGCGAAAGCGUGGGGAGCGAACAGGAUUAGAUACCCUGGUAGUCCACGCCGUAAACGAUGA
rnacentral:rRNA from 1 species